rnacentral:rRNA from 1 species
CAAUAGCGUAUAUUAAAGUUGUUGCGGUUAAAAAGCUCGUAGUUGGAUUUCUGUUGAGGACGACCGGUCCGCCCUCUGGGUGAGUAUCUGGCUCGGCCUUGGCAUCUUCUUGGAGAACGUAACUGCACUUGACUGUGUGGUGCGGUAUCCAGGACUUUUACUUUGAGGAAAUUAGAGUGUUUCAAGCAGGCGUACGCCUUGAAUACAUUAGCAUGGAAUAAUGAGAUAGGACCUUGGUUCUAUUUUGUUGGUUUCUAGAGCUGAGGUAAUGAUUAAUAGGGAUAGUUGGGGCAUUGCGUAUUAAUUAGUCAGAGGUGAAAUUCUUGGAUUUGUUAAAGACGGACUACUGCGAAAGCAUUUGCCAAGGAUGUUUUUCAUUGAUCAAGAACGAAAGUUAGGGGAUCGAAGACGAUCAGAU